rnacentral:rRNA from 1 species
AUGAAGCGAACGUUGGACGCCGCGGAGCCGAGCCCGGUAUUCCUCUCCCGGGAAAAACGCCAGCGCCUCGCCCUCGAGCGCCGCCAGGCCGCCGUCGCCGACCAGCGUCGCUCCGAGCUCCCCACUCCGCCGCCUCCCCCUCACGAUUCCUCCUCAUCGUGCCGACACUACCAGGACCGGCACCGUGACCGCCGCGACAGAGUUCAGGACAGGAACGGCAAGGAGAAAGAUCGGGCGGAGAAGGCGCGGGAGAAGGAGCUGGAGGCGAUCAGGGAUCAGUACCUCGGGGGAUCCAAGGACAAGAAGCCCAAGACGGUCGCCAAGCCGCGGGACAGGUUCCGCUUCGACUGGGCGAGCACGGACGACACCAGCCUUGUCGACACAGCCGACGCGCCCUACCAGCCGGCGCACGGGCCCCUGCUGCUCUACGGUCGCGGCUUCCUCGCAGGCAUCGACCGGCGCGAGCAGAAGAAGGCCGCGGCGGCCACGUUGCACAAGGAGUCCGGCGCCGCGGCGACGUACGACGCCCUGGACAUGCGCGUGGACACGCACUGGACGGCCAAGCGCGCCGAGGAGAUGACGGAGCGCGACUGGCGGAUCCUGCGCGAGGACUUCGGCAUCUCCUACAGGGGCUCCCGCGUGCCCCGGCCCAUGCGGAGCUGGGCGGAGAGCGGGCUCGGCGCCGAGCUGCUCCGCAACGUCGACAGGGCCGGGUGCAGAUCCAGAUGGCCCGGCAUAACCCGGCACGGAGGGAAGUCACAGGACGAGAGGACGGCCAACCUCGACGGGUUCAGGAACGGCGGGUUCAACGUCCUCGUGGCCACCGACCUCGCCGCCCGCGGCAUCGACGUCCCGGAGGUCGCUCACGUGAUCAACUACGAGAUGCCUAGCUCGAUCGAUCUGUACACGCAUCGUAUCGGGAGGACGGGCCGCGCGGGGAAGAAGGGGCUCUCGACAUCGUUUUUGACACUGGUGGACACUGACAUUUUCUUCGAUCUUAAGCAGAUGCUUGUGCAGAGCAAUAGUCCCGUGCCGCCGGAGCUUGCCAGGCAUGAGGCGUCCAAGUUCAAGCCGGGGUCUAUCCUGCUCCGCCUCGGCUUCCCGGCUUUCCUCGUUCACGCCGCCCUCGUCUCCAAGCGAUGGCUCCGCAUCGCCGCCGACCGCGUCUUCCUCCGACGAUUCCGCGACCGUCACCCUCCCCGCGUCCUCGGCUUCUACGUCAACGACUGCUCCACCUUGCGCGCGGUGUUUGUGAGCGUCUCGGAAGCCCGGGAGCUCCGCUAUGCCGUGAAUCGCGCCGGCUUCAACCACUGCAAUCAAUCUGUAAGAAUCACCGACAGCCGGAACGGCCGCCUCCUACUCAUGCCCCGGUCAUUCGGGUGCGGCGGAUACACCAUGUUCAGCCCGCUGUGCCCGGCACGGGCGUUGCUCCCUAUCCGACUACCGCCGGAGCUAUUACACAUUGGCAGGUUAGGUCCGCUGGACUACAUUAGUCAAUGUCUCUACUUGUUAUUUAGGGACAACGACGACGACUUAGUCUUAGUGUCUGUGCGUCUCAGCGGACGAAAGUUAUCGGCCCGAGUGUAUGUCGGGCAAUCUGAUGCCUGGGGUGAAGCCAUUUUGGCUGAAGGAGAGCUCCCUGUGCCAUUAAAUUUUGCUCACUCAAUGAUGAUUGUCAAUGACAAGCUCUACAUUGUGCUCGACAAUUGCUACAUUUGUCGGUUGGAUUUUGUUGCUCCAGAUCCAGAACUCUUUGUCGUCAAAGUCCCGGACAAAGUCGGUGCGGACUUCAAGCUCUCGCUUGGAGAUGAUUCUGGGCUUUUUCUCAUCCACAAAGACGAGUUCCAUCUCAGUGUUUGGAACCACAAGAUGGACGACAACGGUGAAGACAGAGCUAUCAUUUCUGUUGACCUGAGAAGCAGGAAGGAGACGGCAUAUGAGAUCAAGUUCACAUCAUCCAAGUUGUGGCUUUGCAUCGCCUCCGACCCUGCCUUCCUCGGACGCUUCCGCGGGCACAACCCUCCCCGGCACCUCGGCUACUUCGUGGUGGACUCCGACGCCCUGGUCCCAGUCCCGGCAGUCGUGUCCGUCCCAGUAGAGGUCACUGCAUGGUCCAGAAUCACGGACAUGAUGUAUGUCCACAACAAGCUCUACAUGGCAGUAGAGAUUGGCUACAUUCUUUUGCUGGAUCUGGCCACGACAUGCCUGUCCACCUUGAACCUGCCGGAAAAAGUGGACGCCGCCAGCCUCACGCUCUCAUACAAAGAGUCCGGCCUCUUCCUCAUCCAUGUGAAGGGAUUUCAGCUCAAUGUGUGGCACCGCGAGUCGGAUGACGAUGACACAGACAUCUGGGUGCUGGGGGACACGAUUCGCUUGAGUGCGGUAGCAUGCGAUAAUCUCGAGGAAGUUUGA